rnacentral:rRNA from 1 species
AAUGAACGUUGGCGGCGUGGAUUAGGCAUGCAAGUCGAGCGAGGAUCUGUGGAUUGAGGCUUCGGCCGAUUGAAGCAGAGGAAAGCGGCGCAAGGGAGAGUAACGCGUGGAUCAUCUGCCCUCAGGUCUGGGAUAGCUGCGGGAAACUGCAGGUAAUACCGGAUAAUGUCUUCGGACCAAAGGUGCGAUUCCGCCUGUGGAUGAGUCCGCGUCCUAUUAGCUUGUUGGUGGGGUAACGGCCUACCAAGGCUGCGAUGGGUACCGGGCGUGAGAGCGUGGCCCGGCUCACUGGGACUGAGACACUGCCCAGACGUCUACGGACGGCUGCAGUCGAGAAUCUUCCGCAAUGGACGAAAGUCUGACGGAGCGACGCCACGUGCGGGAUGAAGGCCUUCGGGUUGUAAACCGCUGUCAGUUGGGAGGAAAUCUUAUGGGGUUCUCCCCAUAAGUUGACCUAUCUUCGGAGGAAGACCGGGCUAAGUUCGUGCCAGCAGCCGCGGUAAGACGAACCGGUCAAACGUUAUUCGGAAUCACUGGGCUUAAAGGGUGCGUAGGCGGCUUGGCAAGUUGGGUGUGAAAGCCCGCAGCUCAACUGCGGAAUUGCGCCCAAAACUGCCAGGC